UACGUAGGCAGCAAGCGUUGUUCGGAGUUACUGGGCGUAAAGAGUAUGUAGGCGGUUGGCUUAGUCUGGUGUGAAAUCUCCCAGCUUAACUGGGAGGCUGCGCCGGAUACUGGCUGGCUAGAGUAUGGGAGAGGGAAGCGGAAUUCCUGGUGUAGCGGUGAAAUGCGUAGAUAUCAGGAGGAACACCUGUGGUGUAGACGGCUUCCUGGACCAUUACUGACGCUGAGAUACGAAAGCGUGGGGAGCAAACAGG
rnacentral:rRNA from 1 species